AUAUCUCAUGCAGCUGUAUCGCGAUUAUACAUAUAUAUUAUGUAUUAUAUACAUACAAUUUCUCUAUCCGUAAAGAGAACCAUAGCGGUUAUGCGAACUAAUAUAAUAUGUAAUUCUUAUUUGCUCUGCGUCAUUACAUUUAUUCACAAAAAUUAAAGACUUUGAAUUUUUUAUCAUAGUAACUAUUAAGUUGAUUACGGUCUAAGUAUAAUGCGUAACAAAUAACGUCAACAAAACAAACAAUGGUAACUUAGCACUGCUGCGACAUCAAAUCGCACGCAAGUUCUAUUUCCACACAAGCUCUAUAUAAUUUUAAUUUCUUUAGUAGGGAUGAAAAAAAGUCCAGAUAAAUCUCAUUUAUAUUAAUAACGAAUUUAUUUAAACUUAGGAAUUAGGAUGUUGUCUAGUAUUACCUUCACAUCUUGGGUCAAGGUUAAAGAAGAAUCUAUCAUUUCUCUCAAGUUUAUCUAAGUACUUACUUGUGUUACAAAAUGUUUACUAGAAUAUUUCUUUGAAGACUUCAAGUAUGAUAAGCCAGAUAAGCUAUCAUCAGAUAAAUUCAUUUAGUUUAAAAACAUCUUGACAUCUAGUAAAACGCAAAAUAUGGUGUUAAGAAAAUAUUUAAAUAUCACAAGGUUCCCUUAAAUUUGAUCUUCGUAGAAUCUACAUUAAUUUAUUUUCGGACAGAUCCGUGUUACCUACACCACCUGCCCCGCACACUACAAUCAUCUUUACUACCUAUCCACGCAAGAAUCUACAAUUUUUCUUCAAAGUUCGCAAUUAAAUUCUAUCCUAGUAUUCGUAGAUUAUAAACAGAUAUGCCGCCUCGUCAGGAUCUGAUCAUCCAACCGAGCCGGUUCCAGGUGGAGCAGACACGCACACCCCCUCCCCCACCCCCCGGACGUCUUCAGAGGCCCCCCCACGAUCACCCCUCCACUUACAUCGCCUCGCAAACAAGACGGAAUACUGCCGCAGCCACACGAACCAACUAGAGGUUUUAACAUCGAAUUUGCUGUUCAUAGCAAGGAUAGUGAAGGCAUUGUUAUGGAAAUCUAAAUUUUAUGAUUGCUUCAGCUAUAGAUAGAAAUGAAUGAUUGAUACAAUUAGGUUCGUAUUAACGGCCAUAAAAUUAAUGGAAAUGUAUGCUACAGUGGUAUCGAAAUACAUGUAUGUAUAUAGGAAAUAUCUGUGUUUGGAUUUCUGACUUUUUUAAUCAUAUUGGCGGAUUCCGACCGUAUUAUGUAAAUUAUGAAGUGAUAGGUAUUUGUACAUAAGCCAUUUACGUAAGUGUAGAAUAUGUGUAGAUUAUUAAUAUAAAAAUAUAAUAAAUAUACAUUUAAAACAU